rnacentral:rRNA from 1 species
UACGAAGGGGGCUAGCGUUGUUCGGAAUCACUGGGCGUAAAGCGCACGUAGGCGGAUUGUUAAGUCGGGGGUGAAAUCCCGGGGCUCAACCUCGGAACUGCCUUUGAUACAGCAAGUCUUGAGUUCGAGAGAGGUGGGUGGAAUUCCUAGUGUAGAGGUGAAAUUCGUAGAUAUUAGGAAGAACACCGGUGGCGAAGGCGGCCCACUGGCUCGACACUGACGCUGAGGUGCGAAAGCGUGGGGAGCAAACAGG